rnacentral:rRNA from 1 species
AUUGAACGCUGGCGGCAUGCCUUACACAUGCAAGUCGAACGGUAACGGGCCUUCGGGUGCCGACGAGUGGCGAACGGGUGAGUAAUGUAUCGGAACGUACCUUUCAGUGGGGGAUAACGUAGCGAAAGUUACGCUAAUACCGCAUAUUCUGUGAGCAGGAAAGCAGGGGAUCGCGAGACCUUGCGCUGAUUGAGCGGCCGAUGUCAGAUUAGCUAGUUGGUGAGGUAAAGGCUCACCAAGGCGACGAUCUGUAGCGGGUCUGAGAGGAUGAUCCGCCACACUGGAACUGAGACACGGUCCAGACUCCUACGGGAGGCAGCAGUGGGGAAUUUUGGACAAUGGGGGCAACCCUGAUCCAGCCAUGCCGCGUGAGUGAAGAAGGCCUUCGGGUUGUAAAGCUCUUUCGGCCGGGAAGAAAUCGCACGGGCUAAUACCCUGUGUGGAUGACGGUACCGGAAUAAGAAGCACCGGCUAACUACGUGCCAGCCGCCGCCGUAACAC